GUCUCUUUGUCAAUUGUAAAUAGAGAGUUGGGCCUGCUCGGUGAAUAAAUUGUUUUAACAGCUGCGGUAUUUUAACUGUACUAAGGUAGCAUAAUAAUUUGCCUUAUAAUUUGAGGCUAGAAUGAAUGGUUUGACGAAGGUUAAUCUGUCUCUACUUUAUUUUUUAGAAUUUAAUUUUUAUAGUGAAAAAGCUUGAAUUUUUUAAAGGGACGAGAAGACCCUAUUGAGCUUAUAAUUUUAUUACUGGUUCAUUAUGUAUAAGUGAAAAGUAUAUAAAUUUUAAUUGGGGUGAUUAAGGAAUAAUAUAAGUUAAUAACUUCCUUAUAAAAAAUUUUGUUGAAAGAAGUAACCAAUAAUAAAUAUUGCUUAUAAUAUAGUUACCAUAGGGAUAACAGCGUAAUUUGUUUAGAGAGUUCUUAUUGAAAAACAAGAUUGCGACCUCGAUGUUGGAUUAAAGUAACCUUAAGGUGCAGAAGCUUUAUUAGGUAAAUCUGUUCGAUUUUUAAAACUUUACA
rnacentral:rRNA from 1 species